rnacentral:lncRNA from 1 species
CAAGCUAUCACUUACUGUUGAUUGUGAUGAAAUGCCAGGUGAGGCAUAAGCCCUGUGAGCUUAGAGUUGCUACACUUGACCACUGUGGCAGUCAAGAUGACUCUGAAGAAUGGCAUGGGAUGGAUCCUUUUGAAUGCACUUGAGCAGGGAACUCCAACCACAGGGUCACAGAGCCGGAGCUGGAUCUACCAUGAAAGACUUCAGAGUCCAGGAAGAGAGACUGACUGGGCAACAUGUUAUUCAGGAGAUGGCGUCUCACCCUGUCACCCAGGCUGGAGUGCAG